GACGAACGCUGGCGGCGUGCUUAACACAUGCAAGUCGAACGGAAAGGCGCCAGCUUGCUGGCGUACUCGAGUGGCGAACGGGUGAGUAACACGUGGGUAAUCUGCCCUGCACUCUGGGAUAAGCCUUGGAAACUGGGGCUAAUACUGGAUAUGAUCUUUCUCCUUGUGGGGUUUGGUGGAGAGUGUUUCGGUGUUUGAUGCGCCCGCGGCCUAUCAGCUUGUUGGUGGAGUGUUGGCAUACCAAGGCGACGCCGGGUAGCCGGCCGGAGAGGGUGAUCGGGGACAUGGGGCCUGGGGUACGGCCCAGACGGCAACGGGCGGCAGUAGUGGAGAGUAUUGCACAAUGGGGGGAAGCCUGAUGCAGAGACGCCGGGUGAGGGAUGACGGCCUUCGGGUUGUAAACAUCUUUCAGCGGGGACGAAGAGUAAGUGACGGUACCUGCAGAAGAAGCACCGGCUAACUAUGUG
rnacentral:rRNA from 1 species